rnacentral:rRNA from 1 species
UACGGGGGGGGCAAGCGUUGUUCGGAAUUACUGGGCGUAAAGGGCUCGUAGGUGGCCAACUAAGUCAGACGUGAAAUCCCCAGGCUCAACCUGGGAACUGCGUCCGAUACUGGCAGGCUUGAAUCCGGGAGAGGGAUGUGGAAUUCCAGGUGUAGCGGUGAAAUGCGUAGAUAUCUGGAGGAACACCGGUGGCGAAGGCGGCAUCCUGGACCGGUAUUGACGCUGAGGCGCGAAAGCUAGGGGAGCAAACGGG